CGCGUCCUUACGCGCGCCACGGAAGUGAGGAGAGCAGACGCCUUUUUCCCUCUUCCCGUUCGGGGAGCCAAACGGCUUUUCGUGCGGUGGCGUGAUCCUCUUGGAAACCGGUUGCAAACGCAGCGGUGACGUAGCCCCGCGCUCACUGGACCGAGCCCAGAACGAGGCGGGGCGGGCGCGACCGGUGCGACCGGCGCACGCCGGAGAAAGGGGAGACGACUGCGAGCCGCGACGAAGGACGGAGCUCAGGUAACCAUCUUGUUCCCUUCCUUUGUCGUGCCCUACCUUGUUCGACCACUAUCGACCACGACAAACGUCGAGGUCGACUCUAUAGCCUGCUUCCACGCGAAUUCCCAUGGAGCAAUAAACCCUUUUUAUACUUGUUA